AGGUAGAGAACCGCUGGCAGGCCCAGGCAGAGAUCGGUAAUCCAGAGUAGUGGGGCAAAGGUAGAGAACGGCAGGCAGGCCCCAGCAGAGAUCGGUAAUCCAGAGUAGUGGGGCAAAGGUAGAGAACGGCAGGCAGGCCCAGGCAGAGAUCGGUAAUCCAGAGUAGUGGGGCAAAGGUAGAGAACGGCAGGCAGGCCCCAGCAGAGAUCGGUAAUCCAGAGUAGUGGGGCAAAGGUAGAGAACGGCAGGCAGGCCCAGGCAGAGAUCGGUAAUCCAGAGUAGUGGGGCAAAGGUAGAGGACGGCAGGCAGGCCCAGGCAGAGAUCGGUAAUCCAGAGUAGUGGGGCAAAGGUAGAGGACGGCAGGCAGGCCCAGGCAGAGAUCGGUAAUCCAGAGUAGUGGGGCAAAGGUAGAGGACGGCAGGCAGGCCCAGGCAGAGAUCGGUAAUCCAGAGUAGUGGGGCAAAGGUAGAGGACGGCAGGCAGGCCCAGGCAGAGAUCGGUAAUCCAGAGUAGUGGGGCAAAGGUAGAGGACGGCAGGCAGGCCCAGGCAGAGAUCGGUAAUCCAGAGUAGUGGGGCAAAGGUAGAGGACGGCAGGCAGGCCCAGGCAGAGAUCGGUAAUCCAGAGUAGUGGGGCAAAGGUAGAGGACGGCAGGCAGGCCCAGGCAGAGAUCGGUAAUCCAGAGUAGUGGGGCAAAGGUAGAGGACGGCAGGCAGGCCCAGGCAGAGAUCGGUAAUCCAGAGUAGUGGGGCAAAGGUAGAGGACGGCAGGCAGGCCCAGGCAGAGAUCGGUAAUCCAGAGUAGUGGGGCAAAGGUAGAGGACGGCAGGCAGGCCCAGGCAGAGAUCGGUAAUCCAGAGUAGUGGGGCAAAGGUAGAGGACGGCAGGCAGGCCCAGGCAGAGAUCGGUAAUCCAGAGU